rnacentral:rRNA from 2 species
AUACCCGCGGCCCGAGUGGUGGUCGAUAUUAUUGAGUCUAAAACGUUCGUAGCCUGUUUGGUAAAUCCUUGGGUAAAUCGGCCAGCUUAACUGACCGAACUCCGGGGAGACUGUCAAACUUGGGACCGGGAGAGGCUAGAGGUACUUCUGGGGUAGGGGUAAAAUCCUGUAAUCCUGGAAGGACCACCGGUGGCGAAGGCGUCUAGCUAGAACGGAUCCGACGGUGAGGAACGAAGCCCUGGGGCGCAAACGGGAUUAGAUACCCCGGUAGUCCAGGGUGUAAACGCUGCAGGCUUGGUGUUGGGGGUCCUUCGUGGGCGCCCAGUGCCGGAGAGAAGUUGUUAAGCCUGCUACUUGGGGAGUACGUCCGCAAGGAUGAA